rnacentral:rRNA from 1 species
GAAACCUGGUUGAUCCUGCCAGUAGUCAUAUGCUUGUCUCAAAGAUUAAGCCAUGCAUGUCUAAGUAUAAGCGAUUUUAUACAGUGAAACUGCGAAUGGCUCAUUAAAUCAGUUAUAGUUUAUUUGAUAGUACAUUACUACUUGGAUAACCGUGGUAAUUCUAGAGCUAAUACAUGACAUCAAAACCCGACUUC